rnacentral:rRNA from 1 species
AGUGAACGCUGGCGGUAGGCCUAACACAUGCCAGUCGAACGGCAGCACAGUAAGAGCUUGCUCUUACGGGUGGCGAGUGGCGGACGGGUGAGGAAUACAUCGGAAUCUACUUUUUCGUGGGGGAUAACGUAGGGAAACUUACGCUAAUACCGCAUACGACCUACGGGUGAAAGCAGGGGAUCUUCGGACCUUGCGCGAUUGAAUGAGCCGAUGUCGGAUUAGCUAGUUGGCGGGGUAAAGGCCCACCAAGGCGACGAUCCGUAGCUGGUCUGAGAGGAUGAUCGGCCCCACUGGAACUGAGACACGGUCCAGACUCCUACGGGAGGCAGCAGUGGGGAAUAUUGGGCAAUGGGCGCAAGCCUGAUCCAGCCAUGCCGCGUGGGUGAAGAAGGCCUUCGGGUUGUAAAGCCCUUUUGUUGGGAAAGAAAAGCAGCAGGUUAAUACCCCGCUGUUCUGACGGUACCCAAAGAAUAAGCACCGGCUAACUUCGUG